UUUCAAUCCAGCGUCAGAAUCUUUCAAGGAUAUUAAUUUGGUUCCAUUUUCAUUCAGUGGGGAUUAACAAAAACUCCAGUAACAUUAAUCCAAAAACUAAACCACUUUCAAAAGGGAUUAACAUAUUUUAAACUCCUCGUCCUUCCAAAGAAGCUCCAAAAACUACGCUUCUGAUCUUCUUAAGCUUGUAAUCCCAGCAAAUAAAAGUGAAACCAAAUCUAAC
rnacentral:lncRNA from 1 species